rnacentral:rRNA from 1 species
CCAUUCGGACGGUACCUCCAGAAGCAGCCACGGCUAACUUCGUGCCAGCAGCCGCGGUAAUACGAAGGUGGCAAGCGUUGUUCGGAUUUACUGGGCGUACAGGGAGCGUAGGCGGUUSGGUAAGCCCUYYGUGAAAUCUCCAGGCYUAACCYGGAAAAKUCGGAGGGGACUGCYSGGCUAGAGGACGGGAGAGGAGCGCGGAAUUCCCGGUGUAGCGGUGAAAUGCGUAGAGAUCGGGAGGAAGGCCGGUGGCGAAGGCGGCGCUCUGGAACRUUUCUGACGCUGAGGCUMGAAAGCGUGGGGAGCAAACAGGAUUAGAUACCCUGGUAGUCCACGCCUUAAACUAUGAAUACUAAGUGUCGGCGGKUUACCGCCGGUGCCGCAGCUAACGCAUUAAGUAUCCGC